ensembl:lncRNA
CCAGCCUGCAUUUUCUAUCGUUUUCGUGACUCCAGUUGUUGGACGAUGAAAUUCAGGAGGGAGGGAUGAGAUAUCUCCAGAGGCUUAGUUUAACAUCAUCAAAGCCUCUUCCCUCCCCCUUGCACAUUACAGUAUCUGCUUUACUAAUCAGAGGGAAAUUUAUCAUGUAGGAUUUAGGGGAGAUAUUUAUGGUGCCUGUAAGCACAAUGGCUUUGCCUUGUAUGAUGUCAGCUAUUCUCCUGAGGAGAUACAAGACCACAGCUGGUGUGGGAGUCAAUUCGAGAGGGCCGCUUAGAAGAUCGUGGAAAGAGGGAGUGAGGAAAAGAUCUCAAAAAGCCAUUGAAAUAGAAAGGUCUAACAUGGUGAAUGUGGAGGCAAGAAGAUGGCAAGCUUUUGGGUCCUCGAUGACAUCACUGAGUCGCUGGACCACUCUCGGAAUCGCCUCGAAUCUUGAUUGUCAAACUCCCUUACUGUUUAAGAUACGUUUGGUUGGAGUUUUUCUUUCUUGCAUCAAGAAGGAUCGUGUCGCAAGCCCAUGAACCAUUCUACAUCUCCUCUUCUAGCUUCAUCCAAUAACAGCACAAGCCCUCAUCUCUCCCCCUUCCACCACUGCUGUCUCUCGACAGCCAGAUGAAAGUGACACUCUCAUCUAGAACAGCAGUGGUAAAUGUACCCCCACCUCCAUUCUUCCCUCCCAAAGGAACCUCUUCUUUCCCCGUAGGCACUGCCCAGGGUUUGUAAUGUUACAUAUAUUUGUUUAUUUUGUUCAUUGUCUGCUUCACCCCACUUGGUUGUAAUCACCCUAUUGGCAGUGGCUGUGAAUCUUUUGUUCACCUAGGAAUAUCCAAUGCCUACCAUGUAGAGCCUGGCACAUAAUAGGCCUUCACUAAAUAUCUCUUGUAGCAAUGAGUGAAAGAAAGAACGAGGGACUGCUUUCUCCCAAGACAGUGGGACAUGGUAUCCAGACAAGCUGGACCAUUACUUGAGGCCGAGCACUCUGCUUAAUUGUUUAUUCUAGUACAGUAUCACAUUCGGUUACAACAGAGUGGAUGUCCUAAAAGCACCGCUGAUAAUUUCAUGAUUGUAGAAAGGGCUCGCUAAUCCUUCCCGCUCUUGUAAGGCAAUCAGCUCUCUUCCAAAUACCCUCUUAGACUUCAGCCCUUCUCUUCAGUUAGCACAUCGAUCCAUCACAGAAACAUCUGGCAAGCCAAGUUAAUCCUCGGCUAAACUGGGACAGGGCUGAUAAGUCGGCCUUGAGAGUUGAAAAAACCAGCCCUGCUGAAGGAGAGGACAUUUUUUUCAGACAGGGUGAGAGGCAUAAGCCUCAGCCAGGACACUUCAGUUACGAGACGAUAAUUUCUCACAAAAGUGUUAGCUCAAGCAGUCCAAAUGCUGCUCUUGCACCAAAGAAAUUCAGAGGAGAGCGCCCUGCUCCUUUCUCAUCCACACAGGUAGAAGGGAAGCCGUGCCUCCGAGAGCUUAGGCUGGUGUUUACUGGGCCAAGCCUCCAGUUUAUCCUGGGAAGCUCAAGGGUUCUGAAGGCCUUUUAUGGGAUUCACAAGGAUAAACAACAUCUUCAACAUAUGUUCUCGGAGGUCAAGCCUCGGGACCCAAAUCUGAGGAUCGAAGGAGCUGCCUCUCUAAUAAUUCUGGACAGUUCCCCAACUUCGCACAAACCAUUUAUUUUAGAAUGUAAAACUAACCUUUUAUCACCUGAAGUUCUGUGGUCAUUUAGAAAAUACAGUAGCACCCCAUUUUAAUUAGAACUGAGUGACAAGAAUCAGCCCCUUAUGGGUUUUCUAGAUAAUGGUCAGACCUAAACAAACAAACAAACAAACAAACAGCAUGCCUCUCUGAGUGGUAUUUUGCAGUAAUUUUUUUUUCCCUUUACACUGCAUUUUAGAAUUCUAAUAGAGGCAUGUCUGGAAAUUUUUUAAAACUUGUUAAUGAUUCAUCCACUUUGAGAAAAAAACGGGUGAUUUCAGGGGCCCAGGUGUGAGCAACUGAUUUAAAACCAGUGUUUCCUGGGGCGCCCGGGGGGCUCAGUCGGUUGGGCGUCCGGCUUCGGGUCGGGUCAUGAUCUCAGAGUUUGUGAGUUCAAGCCCCACGUCGGGCUCCGUGCUGACAGCUCGGAGCCUGGAGCCUGCUUCGGAGUCUGUGUCUUCCUCUCCCUCUGCCUCUCCCCCACCUGUGCUCUCUCUCUCUCUCUCUCUCUCUCUCUCAAAUAAAUAAAUAAAUAAAUAAAAUGUAAAACCA